CCCUUAGAUGUCCUGGGCUGCACGCGCGCUACACUGGAAGUUACGGAUUGAGAUACUACCUUGUCCGAAAUGGUCCGGGUAAUCACCUAAAAGCUUGUCAUAAUUGGAAUGGAUUAUCGUAACUAGUAAUCCUGAACGAGGAAUUCCUAGUAAGUCCCAGUCAACAGCUGGUACUGAUUACGUCCCUGCCCUUUGUACACACCGCCCGUCGCUACUACUGAUUGGACGUUUAAGCAAGAUUUUUAAACACUGACAGUGUGUAGUUCACGCUAUACUACAGUGAGAAGAAGAAGAUCGAGCUUACUUGUCUAGAGGAAGUAAAAGUCGUAACA
rnacentral:rRNA from 1 species